rnacentral:tRNA from 1 species
UUCGAGUCCCUCUAUCCCCAAAA